GUCUCUGAAGAGUUUACCAUUCCUCACUCUCAUUUUACAGCACAUUAAAAACACAUUUCUCUUACAGAUGACUCAGGCGAACAUCACAGAGUGUCCCCUAUGGAUCAUGUAGUAGAUUACACUACAUCAGAAUGAACCUGUGUGUAUGUGUGUCAUAUGAACAUUUAUAUCAGUGGUGUCCAAAGGUAUUUUAGAAAUAGAAUAAAAGUUGGCCCGCUGUUAAGCAGGUUUUUAUAAUGUGAGAUUCAAAGUUUGAACGCUAGGUGUCAGAAACGGGCCAAAGAGUCUAAAAGCGGAGAGAGUGCGCAUUUCUAGCGCAGAAAAACGGGCCAAAGAGUCUAAAAGAGGAGAGAGUGUGCAUUCCUAGCGCAGAAAAACGGGGCAAAGAGUCUAAAAGCAGAGAGAGUGCACAUUUCUAGCGCAGAAAAACGGGCCAAAGAGUCUAAAAGCAGAGAGAGUGCACAUUUCUAGCGCAGAAAAACGGGCCAAAGAGUCUA